GCUACGGGAGGCUGCAGUGAGGAAUAUUGGUCAAUGGGCGCGAGCCUGAACCAGCCAAGUAGCGUGAAGGAUGACUGCCCUACGGGUUGUAAACUUCGUUUAUAAAGGAAUAAAGUGAGGCACGUGUGCCUUUUUGUAUGUACUUUAUGAAUAAGGAUCGGCUAACUCCGUGCCAGCAGCCGCGGUAAUACGGAGGAUCCGAGCGUUAUCCGGAUUUAUUGGGGUUAAAGGGAGCGUAGAGGGGUUGUUCAGUCAGUUGUGAAAGUUUGCGGCUCAACCGUAAAAUUGCAAUUGUUACUGGCAUUCUUUCUUACAGUUGAGGUCGGCGGAUUUCGUUGUGUAGCGGUGACCUGCUUCGCUAUCACGAAUCACUCCGAUUGCGAAGGCAGCUUCCUAAACUGCCACUGCCAUUGAUGCUCGACAGUGUGGGUAUCACACAGGAUUAGCUACCCUGGUAGUC
rnacentral:rRNA from 1 species